CAGCAGCCGCGGGAAAACAGAGGGUGCGAGCGUUAAUCGGAUUUACUGGGCGUAAAGCGUGCGUAGGCGGCUAAUUGAGUCGGAUGUGAAAUCCCCGAGCUUAACUUGGGAAUUGCAUUCGAUACUGGUUAGCUAGAGUGUGGGAGAGGAUGGUAGAAUUCCAGGUGUAGCGGUGAAAUGCGUAGAGAUCUGGAGGAAUACCGAUGGCGAAGGCAGCCAUCUGGCCUAACACUGACGCUGAGGUACGAAAGCAUGGGGAGCAAACAGGAUUAGAUACCCGGGUAGUCCCUGUCUCUUAUAA
rnacentral:rRNA from 1 species